CAGUGGCUUCUUCCUCAGUGAAGUCUGCUGAACAGAGCUGUUCACGAGAAGCAGCACUCCCAUCAGCACACACACUCCUUUGAACUCCAUGACGAGGACCAACUCUCAAGUCCAAAACCGCCCUUUGCAUGCAUAACAAACCAACCUCAGGAGCUUUCAAAGGCUGGUGUGUUUGUGUGAGUGUCAUCUGGCCUCAGAAACUUCAUAUGGAAGGCCAGCACUGACCAAAGCCAGACCUGGGAGACAGGUGGAAACUGUGUGGAACAGCUGUGACAUCAGUACAAGAAAAACAAAUAAGUCAGUGAAUCAUUUGUUGCUUAAAUGGCAAAAUAAAUGGGUUUGUGUUCA